UGUGCACUGUUUUCUGAGGACCUGGAUUC
rnacentral:piRNA from 1 species